UACGUAGGUGGCAAGCGUUGUCCGGAAUUAUUGGGCGUAAAGCGCGCGCAGGCGGUCCUUUAAGUCUGAUGUGAAAUCCCACGGCUCAACCGUGGAGGGUCAUUGGAAACUGGGGGGACUUGAGUGCAGAAGAGGAAAGCGGAAUUCCACGUGUAGCGGUGAAAUGCGUAGAGAUGUGGAGGAACACCAGUGGCGAAGGCGGCUUUCUGGUCUGUAACUGACGCUGAGGCGCGAAAGCGUGGGGAGCAAACAGG
rnacentral:rRNA from 1 species